AUGUCAUUGCAGGUAAAGAAACUUCCCUUUGAACAUACUUGUGGGAGCAAAAACUGCAGCAAAGGAAUGGCAAAUAGAGAUUGGCUCGCUGAUAAAGGGAAGGCUGCACUUGAGGAGAAUGCCACGGUGAGUGCAAAACAACUUAAAGAACGCUUGCAAAGGGAGUAUGAUAUUAAGCUUCAAUACACCGAUGUUUGGAAAGGGAGAGCUCGUGCAAAGGAUCAAUUAGAAGGUACAUAUAAAGAGAAUUUUCAGUUGUUGUGGAACUUUAGAGCUGAAUUGUUGGCAGCCAAUCCUGAAAGUAUAUUUGAGAUAGAUGUAAAAACAACUACCAAUAGUAAGGUUUUCAAUAGGUUGUUCAUUGCAUUCAAGCCAUGCAUUGAUGGGUUUUGGGCAGGGUGUAGACCAUAUUUGGGGGUUGAUGCAACUUUUCUUUGUGGGAAAUACACUGGCCAAUUUGCAGCCGCAAUUGGUGUAGAUGGGCAUAGUUGGAUGUUUCCGGUAGCAUUUGGAAUAUUUGAGAAAGAAAAUAAAGAAAAUUGGGUAUGGUUCAUGGAGCAGUUGAAAUUGGCUAUUGGAGAACCACAAGGGCUUGCAAUCCAUACCGAUGCAUGCAAGGGGUUGGAGAAUGCCAUUUCUAAGGUCUACCCAAAUUGUGAACAUAGAGAAUGCAUGAUGCAUCUAAUGCUCAACUUCAAGAAAAAGUUCAAAGGUGACAUACUAGAUAAUAUGUGGCCUGUAGCUUGGACAUAUGAAGUAGAGAAGCAUGAUUCACUAAUGGCAGAAAUACAAGCACAAAGCGCCGAAGCAAUAGCCUAUUUGAACAUGCAUCACAACUGUGUGUGGACAAGAAGCAAAUUUUCAGCAAUGACCAAAGUUGAGUACGUUAGUAAUAAUUUGGCAGAGGUUUUCAACAAUUAG
rnacentral:rRNA from 1 species